rnacentral:misc_RNA from 1 species
CCUGAUGGUAAGCGAUUACCGUAGCUUAUAGACGCCUGCAACACCAGAAGCAUCGCAAGCGCGUUGUCAACCCAAUCCCCAAUCCCCCCAGGAGCUCUGGUCACCUUACUCACCAACAGGAACACAAUACUGCUUGAAAACAGUAUUAUUUUGCUGUGAUCUUCUGUAAGGUUGAGGUACUUCCCCAGUCGGGCUGCUCCAUAUUUUGAGCAAGAAAUUCCUGCUGUGCCCUACCUCAGUUAAG